ensembl:lncRNA novel transcript
AGUAAAUGAGAGCAUGAACGUAGAUUGCAGCACAGCGCCCAUCAUGCGGGAUGCUUUCAAUAACUGAUGUAAAAGAGCUAAUGACACCUGUUGUAAUGAGCUCUCUGCAGGAGUGUCCUAUGAAUCUGACGGAUGUGAAUUCUGGGGGUAACUAUGGAGUUCUAGUGACUACACAGAGACAAAGCACUUCUUGCUGCCACCAUGUGAAGAAGGAUGUGUUUGCUUCCUCUUUUGCCACAAUUGUAAGUUUCCUGAGGACUUCCCAGCCAUGCUGAACUCAGAAGAGGAAGUUGGAGGCAUGUGAGGUGCAGGAAGGAUUCUAAGCAGUGGUGCUGGCUUUGAAGAUGGAAGGCAUUGUACCUCAAUGAAUGUGACUGGUUUCUAGAAGCUGAGAGUAGCCAGCCCCCAGCUGACAGCCAACAAGGAAACAGGGACCUUGGUUCUCCAACCACAGAAAAUAGAUUCUACCAACAAGAAUGAGCUUGAAAGCAGAUUCUUCCCUCGCACUUAAAGUCUCCUGCAACUAUGGUGAUACACCUUGAUCCGGCAUCUUCCAUUCACCUCUCCAGAUUCAUUCUCCAUGCCUCAGUACUCUGUGCUAUUUCCCAGAAGGCUGAUCCUUAAGGACUACACCUGUGGGAUCCCUUGUCACUGGCAAUGGGACAAUGGGAGGUGCCAGCAGAAAAUCAGAGUGAUGAAGAAUGAGGUCUGGGUAUUUAUCUCCUGGCUUUCUGUAAGUAUACAAGGUGAUAAAAAGGAAAAUGAUUCCUAACAACUUGGGGGUAUGUGGAAGCAGGGGAAGGGGGUGCUGUGGGCUGAACUGUGUUUCCUCAAAGUCAUAU